rnacentral:rRNA from 1 species
UACGUAGGGUGCAAGCGUUAAUCGGAAUUACUGGGCGUAAAGCGUGCGCAGGCGGUUUUGUAAGUCAGAUGUGAAAAUCCCCCGGGCUUAACCUGGGAACUGCGUUUGAAACUACAAGGCUAGAGUGUGGCAGAGGGGGUGGAAUUCCGACGUGUAGCAGUGAAAUGCGUAGAGAUGUGGAGGAACACCGAUGGCGAAGGCAGCCCCUGGGUUAACACUGACGCUCAGGCACGAAAGCGUGGGGAGCAAACAGG